rnacentral:lncRNA from 1 species
CUGACUGGGACGGAAAGUGGAUUCUGACCUCACUUCACAGAGAUUGAUUUUUGCAACCUUUGCCAGUCGUCAGCCUCUGCGUGAGUGGCUACGAGAAGUAACUGCCAAUCCAUCUUAAUGUAUAAUGGAUGCGGCUGCCCGUUUUGCUGCCUUCUCUUCGAUACCCCCAUAGCGUUUAUUUGCAUGGACAAGCAGCUUCUUUUAGCUUCCAAUGCAAUUCUAACCCUGACGUCGAAGAUCCGCUAAAGAGUCGGUGCACCCGGUUUAACCCCGCCUGCCGACCGGUGAUAAUAUUCAGUAGACUCCUGGCUACCCUAAUCCUUUCAAAUGAGAGCAGGAGAGCUUGAGAGGAUUAAGGCCCCUGAAGGAGAAGACAGAUUUGACAGAUGGAAUAGCUCUACUC